GCAGUAGAAGGCGUACUGUCUAGCGGAUGGCUGCUCCGCUUUUGCACCCUGCUCUAGGAGGAGGAGGUGGAUGUGAAGUAGGAGGUUGAGGAGGCGGUGACCGUGGCGGCGACAACGCAUUCAGAUGUCUGCCCUAUCAACUUUCGAUGUUACUUUCUGCGCCUACCAUGGUGACCACGGGUAAUGGGCAAUCAGGGUUCAAUUCCAGAGAGGGAGCCUGAGAAAUGGCUACCACAUCCAAGGAAGGCAGCAGGUGCACAAAUUACCCACUUCCGACGCAGGGAGGUAGUGAC